GGGCUAUGGCUCAGCGGCAGAGCGCCUCGUUUACACAUAACCAAAUUAAAACUCCAAUUCACUUCCCCAAAAGGGU
rnacentral:tRNA from 1 species